CUCUCUCUAUUAAACCCAGGACUCCGACGAAAUUGCAGGGAAUUCGUGGUCACGGGACCGGUCUCCGCCAAUCGCUCGUCUGGGCCUGGUGGAAAACACAGGCAUUAUUUGCUUUAAUUGAUUCAAAAACUCCAGAGGACCACGACCUGGAUACCAUAAGCCUUCCUCCUGUACCCCCAUUCCAACCCCGGCGCCCCCACACUCUCCCCAAAUGCUCUCUUCUCCCAGAAAAGCCCGAAGAACCGCUUCCUCCCCUUCAGAGACUGUGUGGUGGUGGGAGCCUGUAGAAACAACCAAAUUUAAGGGAGAAAUGGCCUUCUUGUCUAAAGAUUUUAAUUGAGUCAAUGAAUAUGCUUUCUUUAUGUGGCCAUCAGUAGCAUCCUCUCCCCCUCCAAAGAGCAAAAGCCCAUUUGGGAGGAAGUAGGGGUAAAAAGAGGCUUCCACUCUUUGGGGAAAGGUCAGUAGUAAGGUGAAAAAUCAGAAUGGAGAUGGGUGGGAGGCAGCUCCAACCACCACCAGCAGUUCGCACCCCCCCUCUGGAAGCAGCAGUUCAAACUUAAGAAAUGCACAAGCUGGCACAAAGCAGCGAGAUGCCAAGAGCACUUGGGGACACUGGUCUCCUUCCCAGCCUUGUGUCCUGGAUUCUGUCCUCUGCCCAGUAUGUACAGGCAACACUUUAUGUCCAGUGGCCUUCUUCCUGUUGGGGUCAUCUGUACUCACACUCUGUGACCCCCCAGCACUGUUCAGUAGGAGGGUCCAAGAAGGUCUAAGAUGGCAGAUAUGUUCAUAGCCCUCAGGCUGUGUCUGUGUCUAUAUCCAGGGCACCAAGGUCGCCAUCCACAAAAGUUUCAAAGCUAAAGUUAAUGUAUGGGGGAGGACACUUUCCCUCAGGACAAAGGGACUUUCUCUCCCAUAUUUGCCUUUGUGCAAAUUUUUUAAAUCCCUGGUUUAAAAAAAAAAAUCCCUAAAGAUGGAGGGAGAAGAAGUAAAGACUACCACUGAGAUUAUAUUCGGUUUAUGGUCCCUAGAGGGGGGAAAAUAAUGUAUUCUAUUGUGAGGAGACUAUGAUAGGCCCAACUUUAGAAUGUUGUAAUUUACUGGAGGGAGGAGGCACAAAACUCAGAGCCACAAGCAAUUUGGUGGGAAACUAGGCCUCAGAGCUGAAAACGAAAAGUCGAUCUGGGGGAAGAUUUUUAAAUAAGUGGGUCAGAGGGACCAAGAGGAGAUGAGGCGAUCAAUCUUAGCCCCCUGACAGCUCCCUCCGAUUGCAUCAAAGAAUUUGGCUCUUUGGGAAAGCAGAGGGAACAGCCUAAAUUCCACAUCCCUUAAAAAGGCCUGAGGGAGGGGGCAGCAGAAGAGAAAGGUAAUUCUGGGAGGGCCAGGAAACAGAUGGGAAAUGGAGACAGAGGGAAGGCGCUAACUUGGGUGGAAAGUUUGCCCCAGAGAACUCCCACGGCUCUGGAGAGAAUUCCCCUCCCCCUCCUCGCUCUCCGCCGCCCAGCCUGGAGGAGAAGGCUGGUUAGCAGAGAAAUGGCAAGUCAGCGGAGAGCUGGAACUAGAAACUUUCUGUCAAUGUAACGUCCGCGUGGGUGGUGACCCAAUGGUGGUUGGGCUUCGGGUCACGUGACAGCCUCCUUGUAGCUCCGGAAGAGAACCGUGAAGUUUAGGUUGCCUGGAAGAAGCAGAGAAUGAAAGGGAGGAAAAAAAAAAUCAAGAUUUGGGGGAAUUGCCCACAGAGAUGGAAG